GACGAACGCUGGCGGCGUGCUUAACACAUGCAAGUCGAACGGAAAGGCCCUGCUUUUGUGGGGUGCUCGAGUGGCGAACGGGUGAGUAACACGUGAGUAACCUGCCCUUGACCUUGGGAUAACUUCAGGAAACUGGGGCUAAUACCGGAUAGGAGCUCCUGCUGCAUGGUGGGGGUUGGAAAGUUACGGCGGUUGGGGAUGGACUCGCGGCUUAUCAGCUUGUUGGUGGGGUAGUGGCUUACCAAGGCUUUGACGGGUAGCCGGCCUGAGAGGGUGACCGGCCACAUUGGGACUGCGAUACGGCCCAGACUCCUACGGGAGGCAGCAGUCGGGAAUAUUGCACAAUGGGCGGACGCCUGAUGCAGCAACGCCGCGUGCGGGAUGACGUCCUUCGGGUUGUAAACCGCUUUCGCCUGUGACGAAGCGUGAGUGACGGUAAUGGGUAAAGAAGCACCGGCUAACUACGUG
rnacentral:rRNA from 1 species